rnacentral:rRNA from 1 species
UUGAACGCUGGCGGCAGGCCUAACACAUGCAAGUCGAACGGUAACAGGAAGCAGCUUGCUGCUUUGCUGACGAGUGGCGGACGGGUGAGUAAUGUCUGGGAAACUGCCUGAUGGAGGGGGAUAACUACUGGAAACGGUAGCUAAUACCGCAUAACGUCGCAAGACCAAAGAGGGGGACCUUAGGGCCUCUUGCCAUCGGAUGUGCCCAGAUGGGAUUAGCUAGUAGGUGGGGUAAAGGCUCACCUAGGCGACGAUCCCUAGCUGGUCUGAGAGGAUGACCAGCCACACUGGAACUGAGACACGGUCCAGACUCCUACGGGAGGCAGCAGUGGGGAAUAUUGCACAAUGGGCGCAAGCCUGAUGCAGCCAUGCCGCGUGUAUGAAGAAGGCCUUCGGGUUGUAAAGUACUUUCAGCGGGGAGGAAGGGAGUAAAGUUAAUACCUUUGCUCAUUGACGUUACCCGCAGAAGAAGCACCGGCUAACUCCGUGCCAGCAGCCGCGGUAAUACGGAGGGUGCAAGCGUUAAUCGGAAUUACUGGGCGUAAAGCGCGCGCAGGCGGUUUGUUAAGUCAGAUGUGAAAUCCCCGGGCUCAACCUGGGAACUGCAUCUGAUACUGGCAAGCUUGAGUCUCGUAGAGGGGGGUAGAAUUCCAGGUGUAGCGGUGAAAUGCGUAGAGAUCUGGAGGAAUACCGGUGGCGAAGGCGGCCCCCUGGACGAAGACUGACGCUCAGGUGCGAAAGCGUGGGGAGCAAACAGGAUUAGAUACCCUGGUAGUCCACGCCGUAAACGAUGUCGACUUGGAGGUUGUGCCCUUGAGGCGUGGCUUCCGGAGCUAACGCGUUAAGUCGACCGCCUGGGGAGUACGGCCGCAAGGUUAAAACUCAAAUGAAUUGACGGGGGCCCGCACAAGCGGUGGAGCAUGUGGUUUAAUUCGAUGCAACGCGAAGAACCUUACCUGGUCUUGACAUCCACGGAAGUUUUCAGAGAUGAGAAUGUGCCUUCGGGAACCGUGAGACAGGUGCUGCAUGGCUGUCGUCAGCUCGUGUUGUGAAAUGUUGGGUUAAGUCCCGCAACGAGCGCAACCCUUAUCCUUUGUUGCCAGCGGUCCGGCCGGGAACUCAAAGGAGACUGCCAGUGAUAAACUGGAGGAAGGUGGGGAUGACGUCAAGUCAUCAUGGCCCUUACGACCAGGGCUACACACGUGCUACAAUGGCGCAUACAAAGAGAAGCGACCUCGCGAGAGCAAGCGGACCUCAUAAAGUGCGUCGUAGUCCGGAUUGGAGUCUGCAACUCGACUCCAUGAAGUCGGAAUCGCUAGUAAUCGUGGAUCAGAAUGCCACGGUGAAUACGUUCCCGGGCCUUGUACACACCGCCCGUCACACCAUGGGAGUGGGUUGCAAAAGAAGUAGGUAGCUUAACCUUCGGGAGGGCGCUUACCACUUUGUGAUUCAUGACUGGGGUG